GAAAAUAUCUAGACAUUAUGAACCAUAUGACUUAGGCUGAAAAUCAUCAAUAAACCACAAGAGUUUAGCUCCAACCCAAAUUAAGCAGACCUGAGCAGCUGAUCAAGGAUCACCAGAAACUCUGCAGAACGUUGGUCCUCCAUGCCCAGGACUGGACACCAGUGUUGUAAGUCAUCAAUCUAGCAGUCAUCCUGCCUCUCUGAAUUGUC